AUGCAACGCGAAGAACCUUACCUGGUCUUGACAUCCCGGAGACCCUUAGGAAACUAGGGGUGCUUCCAUCUGGAAGAAUCUGGAGACAGGUGCUGCAUGGCUGUCGUCAGCUCGUGUCGUGAGAUGUUGGGUUAAGUCCCGCAACGAGCGCAACCCUUGCCUUUAGUUGCCAGCAGUUCGGCUGGGCACUCUAAAGGGACUGCCGGUGUUAAACCGGAGGAAGGUGGGGAUGACGUCAAGUCCUCAUGGCCUUUAUGACCAGGGCUACACACGUACUACAAUGGCCGAUACAAAGGGCAGCGACACUGCGAGGUGAAGCCAAUCCCGUAAAAUCGGUCUCAGUCCGGAUUGGAGUCUGCAACUCGACUCCAUGAAGUUGGAAUCGCUAGUAAUCGUGGAUCAGAACGCCGCGGUGAAUACGUUCUCGGGGUUU
rnacentral:rRNA from 1 species